CAUCCCCAUGAAGAAUGUUUAACUUAUUAAAAGUAGUGGACUGAUUUUCAUUGAUGAUUCAACAAUUCUGAGGGAUG